AACGAACGCUGGCGGCACGCCUAACACUUGCAAGUCGAACGAAGCAUAAGAGCUUGCUCUUAUGACUGAGUGGCGCACGGGUGAGUAACACGUGGGAAUCUGCCUAUUGGUGGGGAAUAACUUUUGGAAACGAAAGCUAAUACCGCAUAAGCCCUAAGGGGGAAAGAUUUAUCGCCAAUAGAUGAGCCCGCGCUAGACCAGCUAGUUGGUGAGGUAAGAGCUCACCAAGGCUACGAUCUAUAGCUGGUCUGAGAGGAUGGUCAGCCACACUGGGACUGAGACACGGCCCAGAAUCCUACGGGAGGCAGCAGUGGGGAAUAUUGGACAAUGGGGGAAACCCUGAUCCAGCGAUGCCGCGUGAGUGAAGAAGGCCUUCGGGUUGUAAAGCUCUUUCAGAGGGGAUGAUAAUGACGGUACCCUCAGAAGAAGCACCGGCUAACUUCGUGCCAGCCGCCGCCGUAA
rnacentral:rRNA from 1 species